AUGAACGCUAGCGACAGGCCUAACACAUGCAAGUCAGGGGCAGCACAAGGAGCAAUCUGAGGUGGCGACCGGCGCACGGGUGAGUAACACGUAUGCAACCUGCCUGUAAGCGGGGAAUAACCCGUUGAAAGACGGACUAAUACCGCAUAAUACUAAAUUACUGCAUGGUAAUUUAUUUAAACAUUUAUGGCUUACAGAUGGGCAUGCGCAUGAUUAGCUAGUUGGAGAGGUAACGGCUCCCCAAGGCAACGAUCAUUAGGGGUUCUGAGAGGAAGGUCCCCCACACUGGUACUGAGACACGGACCAGACUCCUACGGGAGGCAGCAGUGAGGAAUAUUGGUCAAUGGACGAGAGUCUGAACCAGCCAAGUCGCGUGCAGGAAGAAUUGUCCUAUGGAUUGUAAACUGCUUUUGCAGGGGAAUAAAGUGCAUCACGUGUGAUGUUUUGUAUGUACUCUGCGAAUAAGGAUCGGCUAACUCCGUGCCAGCCGCCGC
rnacentral:rRNA from 1 species